AUUGAACGCUGGCGGCAGGCCUAACACAUGCAAGUCGAGCGAGCGGCGGACGGGUGAGUAAUGUAUGGGGACUGCCCGAUAGAGGGGGAUAACUACUGGAAACGGUGGCUAAUACCGCAUACUAUCGGAUAACCCAUAUGGGAGUAGCUAUUAGGUAAGGUAAUGGCUUACCUAGGCGACGAUCCCUAGCUGGUCUGAGAGGAUGAUCAGCCACACUGGGAAUGAGACACGGCCCAGACCCUUCCGGAGGCAGCAGUGGGGAAUAUUGCACAAUGGGCGCAAGCCUGAUGCAGCCAUGCCGCGUGUAUGAAGAAGGCCCUAGGGUUGGAAAGUACUUUCAGUCUGGAGGCGUUACCGAAAGAAGAAGCACCGGCUAACUCCGUGCCAGCCGCCGCGGUAAUUC
rnacentral:rRNA from 1 species